UUUUCCCCAUAAGAUGAAUAAAUAUAACAAACUUUCCAGUUUCAUAGCCAUAAGCAAUGCUGCUUUCUCUGAAGUUGGCAUUGGGAUCUCUGCCAAUGCCAUGCUCCUUCUCUUCCACGUCCUCAUGUGCCUUCUCAAGCACAGGACCAAGCCCACUGACCUGAUCGUUGGUCAUGUGGCUCUAAUCCAUAUCAUAUUGCUGCUACCCACAGGGUUCAUAGCUACAGAUAUUUUCGGGUCUCAGGAUUCAGGGGAUGACAUCAAACAUAAGUCAGUUAUCUACAGGUACAGGUUGAUGAGAGGCCUCUCCAUUUCCACCAACUGCCUGCUGAGUGUCCUCCCGGCCAUCACCUGCAGCCCCAGAAGCUCCUGUUUGGCAAUGUUCAAAGAUUCUCACAUCACGAACCACGUUGCUUUCUCUUCUUGUGGUUCUUCCACAUAUCCAUUAGGGAAAGCUUCUUAGUCUCCACUCUUCCGAUCAAAAAUGUUGCCUCAAAUAGACUUACAUUUGUCACUCAAUCCUGCUCUGCUGGGCCCCUGAGUUGCUUCCUUGGGCAGACAAUUUUCACACUGAUGACAUUUUAGGAUGUCUCCCUUGCAGGGCUCAUGGCCCUCUCCAGUGGAUACAUGGUGAUUCUCUUGUCCAGGCAUAACAGGCAGUCCCAGCAUUUUCACAGCACCAACCUUUCUCCAAAAGCACCCCCAGAAAAAAUGGCCACACAGACCAUUCUUCUGCUCAUGAGUUGCUUUGUG
rnacentral:sRNA from 1 species